CAGUCCUGAGGCCUGCCCCGCGGGAAGGCAGCUAAGGCCCGUUCAUGGGCUGCACAAUUUAGCCUUGGAAAUAGAGGAUGACAAGAAUACUGAUGCUUCAUAAUUGAAGGCCUGGUUGGAGUAUGCGGCCAGCCUUAUCCAGGUUACCCCACCUGAACAUCCUCCUGGGAGGAAGCAGGGCAUGAAUCCGAAGGAAUUAGUGAAGUCCUUCCAUAGCCAUCCUUGAUGGUGGAGCGGGGGUGUGUCUCAGCAAAAAGGGCUGAAGUAUAAGGUGCUGGGACCAGUUGUCAGUAAAGGCAGUAUGAUUCAAUGAAUCAAUUAAAUCAGGAUGGAGAAGGGAAGCAAAAAGUCCAAGCCAGAUAAGUGGAACUACCCAUGAAACUGGAGGGUGUGGUGAACAAAAGCAAAAUGAUUAGUCACAAGGUCAGGAGCAAGCUUUUUGACAGGAAAAAAAAAAGAAAAAUUCUGUGGAAGGCAGCUUCGAGAAGACAUAAUCCAUGUGUGAUUGUUUGAGAGCAAGAAGGGUUAAAAAAGGCAACAACAAAAAACCUGCUCAUUUUUGCUGCUUGCUUAAGAAAAAAACAACUCAAGCCAUCUCCAAAUGUAGUUUAAUCCAUUUUCAGACUUUAUACAUUAUGCAUCAAGAUUUUGUACAAAAGGAAUUUGAGAGGAGUGUUUGCAUGAAACCACUUCAGUGGAUUAAAUUUGCAGUUCAGCACAUUAGACUCAAAAAGUAUACAAGACAUUUUGAGAGUCCCUGACUCCUUCCUUUAUAUGCAUAGUUCCUACUUCAGGUAAAUAAGUUUUUAAGAAUGAGUGGAUUCCAGCAGCUGUCUUUAAGGGAAAAAUUAAGAAAGGAUUUGGUCUACCUUCCACUUAGCUUCACAAUGAUUGCAAAUGUUUGAAGAACAGAAAGCCUAGUUGAGAAGGUGGAUCUAAGCUGUUCUAUGGACCUCGAGAUUCUUUUAGGCAAAGCUGCCCUAUCCAAGGUGGAAAAGCUAAUGUGAAAAGACAUUCUCAAUAGAAGGAGUUCACACAGCGAUGUCAUAACUGCAAACCCCACCCACCUUCAGUUCAGAGUUGAGAUGCCACUUGCGUAGGCCACCCAGAUGGUAAGCUCAGACAGUCAUCCAGAUGUCUUUAUCUAGUGGAGGCCAAACAUCACUGAGACCACAUCUGGAUGUUUAGUGGGCCAACGACAUUUUUAUUUCCUGCUGUUUAAAUAAUAGAUUUGGGGGAUCUUGGAAACGUAGUCUUUAUUUCCUCUUACCCCAGAGUUGCUCUGCUGCAGGAACACACUUUAUGACAAUCGGGUCAAAUCAGAAGCAGCCAGAGAGCCACCCGUUUCUGGGCUGUUAAUGAUGGGAGGUCCUAAACUGACAGGCGGAGUCUGACGUCUAAACAUCAUGACUGUUAUAAACCAGGAGGUGUCCAAACAACCUAUGGAGCACCUGAAAGUUUCUAUAAUAACUUGUAUUUUUUUUUUUCAAGUGUUGAAAACUUCCUAGCAGUGUGGCUGGUUGCCUGGGCUACAGUGUUGUGUUGACAGCUCUGGUCCUUUUCCUGGCAGCCGAGGAUCUGCACAGUGACCAAUGAGAGGGGAGCAUUCUGCUCUGAACUUUCCAUUAGGCUGAUGAUUCACUUUGAAAUCCACACUUUAUGAAUGCUGUGAAUUCAAUGUAAUGUAGCUGUUGAGGUGUCUACAUUCAAAUUUGAUUCCAUUAACUUUACGGUGUGAUUAAGUGUCUGAAUCAUCAGGACUUGGGAUUGAAUUUAUGUGCCUUCUGCGAGCCCUUUUGUAGACUGGUAGUUUUGAUGAGUGUAAUUUGAUGUAUGGGAUUGGGAGAAGAAACCUAAAAAGAUAUCACCUCAAAUAUAACAAGGAUCUGAGAACCCAAAUUUGAGCGUUGAGGUGGGUGGUCACUCUCAGAUGUGCAGAGUGGAGCUACUCUUCAGCAUGCACACUUUUUUCUUUAAAGAACUUGAUUUUUGGUGUUAGAAGGGACUUAGAGGUCCCUUCUAAGGGACCUCUAAAUUUGGCUUUCAAAUUUUAAAGUACUUAACUAUUAAUUAGGGUGCUUCUUAAAAAAAAAACGCCGAUUUCAGAUCGUGCCUUCUGAUUCUGAAGGGCUGGAAUGGGAUGCAGGAAUGGAAUUAUAGACCUCCCUGGGAGAAAUGCUGACUUAGUUGUUUUGCAUUUGGGAGAGUGAUGGGCCUCAUCCAUGGCCUUCCUCACAGCUAGUGGUAAGAGAGUCAAGCCCAGAACUGGAUCUCUAUAUGUUUCCUCAGGGGUCAUUCAUCACGUACUUAGUUCAUGCUCAUGCGAAUUGACAUUUAUGACAUGGAAAUUAUCGGUAGUAAGAAAGUGAAAAGAACAUGGAGUGGCAGAGAGUGUGGCAUAUUGCAGUUUAGCAAAAAUGAGUUCUGAAAUCUCAUUUGAAAAUUUUAAGUUCUCCUUAACACAUAGGGGUUAAAUGGGAGAUGCACAAUGCUUCACAUAUUUGAGUCAAUUUUAGGCAGUUGCUAAGAUAGCAGUGUACAAAAUAUUUUUACUUUUGCAUUUCCCUUUAUAGAUUUCUUUGGACUUAAAUACACUGAAAUUUUAAUUUAAAUUCUCCAUGUAUUUAAAUUCUCCAUGUAUUUAAAUUCCAGAAUUGAUGAAAUUAAACACUUUUUCAUUAUUGCUGACAAUUUGUACUUAUUCUUUAAUUCUUUGUGAAUCAUUUUUCAGAUCCUUUGUGAACUUCUCUACUGAGUUGCUGGCUUUUUUUUUCUGGUAUUGUUUUUAAAUAGAUGUUUUUUAUUAAAGUUAUUAACUCCAUGUCUGUCAUACAAUUCCCUGAAAGUGUUUUUCUGUUUUUUGUUUUAUGUUUAUUUAUGGUUACUUUUCUUUUAUAUGGAGCAGUUUAAAAUUUUUCUACAGAAACAUUAAAAUCCUUUUUUCUGUUCUCUGUGAUGAUGUUUCAUCAGUUUUAUUUGUUAAAGCUCUCCCU
rnacentral:lncRNA from 1 species